AUUCGUUCAAAAUGAACGAAUCGUCCGUGAACGACACAUCACUAGCGUCGUGUCGUUCAAGUUACGUGUGUUCGCUUGCAGUGUGUGUUUUCAUAUAUCGCGUAUUUACCUGUUUAUUUUCAUAACUAUUGGACUAUUAUAAUUGUGUGCUUUUGAUUAACCUUUAUUUUAGGAGGUUUUGGAACAUUAUACCGCCCCAGAUUUUCGACUACUAAAGCCUCAAAAAUCUCGUAAGGUCAUGGCAGUUUUCCAGCACAGGUGUGUGUCCCUCUGCAGCUGGGGACAGACCUGCUCCUCACCAGAGGCAGUAAAUGUCCAGUCCAGGCCUGUGGACAAUCACUUUUUUUCAGAUUCUCCCACUCAAGUUAUUGGGGAGAAUUUGGCAUACUGGCACAGACUGGUGCUGUUUCCUUCGGGCCUAGCACUUUUAUCAAGCAUGGUCCCCACACUGAACCCACAUUCGGACCCUGGACAUGGACCCUGGAGCCUCAGCAACCAGCACUCCCCAGCCCAGCAGCACUCCACCCUAUGUGAUGGUCCAUCAGCCAAGCCGGGUUCUGGACAUGGCCAGGAAAAGGCCAGAAUUUAUUGUCCAGUGACAGGCAAUGACAAAAGAGCAGUUGCUCAGAAAAAUAAAGAAAAUAUAGAUAUGUUGCAUAUAGCACUUGUAUUGUUACGAAGUUACAUGUAUAUUUUAUAUUUAAAUAUUUGAUGUUUAAAUAGUAUUUUUCUCUUUUGUUUAUAGUUUAAUAUAUUGCUAUUUUAUAAUUUGUCACUUGUAUUUAUUAUUAGGGUACAUGUAUUAUUUGAAUGGUAUUUGCACAUUAUUCAGCUGCUGCUAUAUGUACUGUAUGUCUCUUUGCACUUUUGUCUUUGCACUGUUUGCACCAAGUUGCACACAAUGUACUUUAUGUAGCUAGGACAGGCUUAUUUUCUGUCCUUAGCUCUGUGUUUUGUAAUUAUAUGUUAUGUUUAUGUAGCACCAGGGUCCUGGAGAAAUGUCUCAUUUCACUGUG